rnacentral:tRNA from 1 species
GGAAGAGUCGCUUAAUGGUAGAGCACCUCACUGCUAACGAGGCGUGGUAAAACAUGUGUAGGUUCGACCCCUAUCUCUUCCGCCC